rnacentral:rRNA from 1 species
UACGGAGGGUGCAAACGUUGCUCGGAAUCAUUGGGCGUAAAGCGCACGUAGGCGGCUCGUUAAGUCGGAUGUGAAAGCCCUGGGCUCAACCCAGGAAGUGCAUACGAAACUGGCGAGCUUGAAUAUGGAAGAGGGUCGCGGAAUUCCCGGUGUAGAGGUGAAAUUCGUAGAUAUCGGGAGGAACACCAGUGGCGAAGGCGGCGACCUGGGCCAAUAUUGACGCUGAGGUGCGAAAGCGUGGGGAGCAAACGGG